UACGGGGGGGGGCAAGCGUUGUUCGGAAUUACUGGGCGUAAAGGGCUCGUAGGCGGCCAACUAAGUCGGAUGUGAAAUCCCCAAGCUUAACUUGGGAACUGCAUCCGAUACUGGAUGGCUUGAAUCCGGGAGAGGGAUGCAGAAUUCCAGGUGUAGCGGUGAAAUGCGUAGAUAUCUGGAGGAAUACCGGUGGCGGAAGGCGGCAUCCUGGACCGGCAUUGACGCUGAGGAGCGAAA
rnacentral:rRNA from 1 species